UACGUAGGGGGCAAGCGUUGUCCGGAAUCAUUGGGCGUAAAGAGCGCGUAGGCGGCCCAGUAAGUCCGCUCUGAAAGUCAGGGGCUCAACCCCUGGAUGCGGGUGGAUACUGCUGGGCUAGAGUCCGGAAGAGGCGAGUGGAAUUCCUGGUGUAGCGGUGAAAUGCGCAGAUAUCAGGAGGAACACCGAUGGCGAAGGCAGGUCUCUGGGCCACUACUGACGCUGAGAAGCGAAAGCAUGGGGAGCGAACAGG
rnacentral:rRNA from 1 species